AAAUUGAAGAGUUUGAUCAUGGCUCAGAUUGAACGCUGGCGGCAGGCCUAACACAUGCAAGUCGAACGGUAACAGAAAGAAGCUUGCUUCUUUGCUGACGAGUGGCGGACGGGUGAGUAAUGUCUGGGAAACUGCCUGAUGGAGGGGGAUAACUACUGGAAACGGUAGCUAAUACCGCAUAACGUCGCAAGACCAAAGAGGGGGACCUUCGGGCCUCUUGCCAUCGGAUGUGCCCAGAUGGGAUUAGCUUGUUGGUGGGGUAACGGCUCACCAAGGCGACGAUCCCUAGCUGGUCUGAGAGGAUGACCAGCCACACUGGAACUGAGACACGGUCCAGACUCCUACGGGAGGCAGCAGUGGGGAAUAUUGCACAAUGGGCGCAAGCCUGAUGCAGCCAUGCCGCGUGUAUGAAGAAGGCCUUCGGGUUGUAAAGUACUUUCAGCGGGGAGGAAGGGAGUAAAGUUAAUACCUUUGCUCAUUGACGUUACCCGCAGAAGAAGCACCGGCUAACUCCGUGCCAGCAGCCGCGGUAAUACGGAGGGUGCAAGCGUUAAUCGGAAUUACUGGGCGUAAAGCGCACGCAGGCGGUUUGUUAAGUCAGAUGUGAAAUCCCCGGGCUCAACCUGGGAACUGCAUCUGAUACUGGCAAGCUUGAGUCUCGUAGAGGGGGGUAGAAUUCCAGGUGUAGCGGUGAAAUGCGUAGAGAUCUGGAGGAAUACCGGUGGCGAAGGCGGCCCCCUGGACGAAGACUGACGCUCAGGUGCGAAAGCGUGGGGAGCAAACAGGAUUAGAUACCCUGGUAGUCCACGCCGUAAACGAUGUCGACUUGGAGGUUGUGCCCUUGAGGCGUGGCUUCCGGAGCUAACGCGUUAAGUCGACCGCCUGGGGAGUACGGCCGCAAGGUUAAAACUCAAAUGAAUUGACGGGGCCCGCACAAGCGGUGGAGCAUGUGGUUUAAUUCGAUGCAACGCGAAGAACCUUACCUGGUCUUGACAUCCACGGAAGUUUUCAGAGAUGAGAAUGUGCCUUCGGGAACCGUGAGACAGGUGCUGCAUGGCUGUCGUCAGCUCGUGUUGUGAAAUGUUGGGUUAAGUCCCGCAACGAGCGCAACCCUUAUCCUUUGUUGCCAGCGGUCCGGCCGGGAACUCAAAGGAGACUGCCAGUGAUAAACUGGAGGAAGGUGGGGAUGACGUCAAGUCAUCAUGGCCCUUACGACCAGGGCUACACACGUGCUACAAUGGCGCAUACAAAGAGAAGCGACCUCGCGAGAGCAAGCGGACCUCAUAAAGUGCGUCGUAGUCCGGAUUGGAGUCUGCAACUCGACUCCAUGAAGUCGGAAUCGCUAGUAAUCGUGGAUCAGAAUGCCACGGUGAAUACGUUCCCGGGCCUUGUACACACCGCCCGUCACACCAUGGGAGUGGGUUGCAAAAGAAGUAGGUAGCUUAACCUUCGGGAGGGCGCUUACCACUUUGUGAUUCAUGACUGGGGUGAAGUCGUAACAAGGUAACCGUAGGGGAACCUGCGGUUGGAUCACCUCCUUACCUUAAAGAAGC
rnacentral:rRNA from 1 species